rnacentral:rRNA from 1 species
AUUGAACGCUGGCGGCAGGCCUAACACAUGCAAGUCGAGCGGUAGAGAGGUGCUUGCACCUCUUGAGAGCGGCGGACGGGUGAGUAAUGCCUAGGAAUCUGCCUGAUAGUGGGGGAUAACGUUCGGAAACGGACGCUAAUACCGCAUACGUCCUACGGGAGAAAGCAGGGGACCUUCGGGCCUUGCGCUAUCAGAUGAGCCUAGGUCGGAUUAGCUAGUUGGUGAGGUAAUGGCUCACCAAGGCGACGAUCCGUAACUGGUCUGAGAGGAUGAUCAGUCACACUGGAACUGAGACACGGUCCAGACUCCUACGGGAGGCAG